rnacentral:tRNA from 5 species
GUCAGGAUAGCUCAGCUGGUAGAGCAGAGGACUGAAAAUC